GACAUCAUAGCCAAGUGGUUACGGCGACAGAUUCGAAUGGUGCAGAUCUAGAGUAGACAUCUGUUUCCCUUCGGGAGCGCAGGUUCGAAUCCUGCUGGUGUCG
rnacentral:tRNA from 1 species